CCGCGCCGCGGGCCACCACCUCGCCCCGGGGAGCGGCCUUCCGCCCGGUGCCGCCCUGGCGGCCGGAAGAGCUAGUGCCCCCGAGCGCCCGGCCCGCCGCGGCCUGGGGGCAGGGGGCGGCGCGGCCGGCUGGUGCCUGCGUGGCCCUCGGGCGGCCGGCGGCGCCUGGUGCCCCGACCCCCGCCGGGAGCGUGGCCGCCGCCGCGCUCGGGGCCCUGGGCCUUGCCCGAGCUCUCGUCGCGGUCAGGCGGCCCCGAGGCCUUGCUUGGCCCUCCUCAGGGCCGCGCGCCCCUCGCAGCCAUCCCGGGGGCCCGGUGAGGUAGGUUCCGGCCGUGAGGCGGGCCCGCAGGCUGGGAUCGGGGCUCCUGCGGCCGCCGCCGCGGCAUGCUCCCGGAGCCGGGCACCCCGCCCGUGGGCGUCCCCGCGGUCUCUGCCCGAGCUCGUGCGCCCCGCUUCUCGGGCUCCGGGCAUCUCGGGUGCCCAGGCCUCCCAGGGUCAGCCUUCGCCACGCGGCGGGCUGCUUGUCGGGUGGCCCGCGGGCGGCCAGGGCUAGAGCGCUCGGGCAGUGCCUUCGCUGCAGGGGCUCCGGCGGGAGGGCGCGGCGUUUCGGCGACCCUCCGUGGUCACACGGGCCAGGAGGACGCGAGCCCGAAGCCGAGCGCCGCGCGAGCCGAAGGAAGGGAAAGGGGACUUUUCCUUGGGAAAUGACAAAGGUGCCCCCAGGGAGUGGGGCCCCGCGCACGCGGACGGAGAGCUGGAGAAGACUGGGGUGUGAGCACACCCGCCAUACGUUCUCACUAAGUGCGAUCCCGCUAGUGUUGGGGGGAAGGCCUCACGUUAGAAAAGAAGUUCUUGACCUCUCACGGGGGCGCCGCGGGGCAGCGAAGAGACUGCAUUUCCUAGACUAAACCCUGGAGCAUCACUGGAGGCUGUUUGAGGGACCAUCUUUCCGGGGCAGUUCAUCCGGAAGGAAGUCAUCAGUGACUAAUUCCCUCAGUGAUGGCUGCCUUUCAGAAGGUUGCUAGAUCUUAGUCUGCAUUUGCUUCACAGUCUACUCAGGAUCAUUGUCUUUCCUGAACCUCUUAGUGCCUCAUAAUUACUUGUGAUCCAGACGUGCAUAAGUGAGCAGUGUCUAGAAGCGGCAAGGAAGCUGUGGCUCUGGUUGAAGAUAUAUAGACUGGAUCUGGGCAAUAGAAAGACUUUCACCGGUGUCCAGGAGACUGGCUUCCCCAUGAUGUGAGAAGAAAUGGAAUCUGAUCUCCAGGGUAGAAGUGGCUACCAGUCAGCCAGUUUGCUGAAGCAAAUCAUGGCUGCACCAAGGAGUCCCCAGGCAUACCCAUUCCCAUGCAAGAACUGCUCACAGGGACAGAAAUCAACCUUUCACAGCAACAACCCCAACCCCGAAGCUUCCCGCCAGCACUUCAGGCAGUUCUGCUGCCAGGAGGUAGCUGGCCCCCAUGAAGCUUUCAGCAAGCUCUGGGAACUCUGUUGUCAGUGGCUAAGGCCUAAGAUACAUUCAAAAGAGCAAAUGCUGGAGCUGCUGGUUUUGGAGCAGUUUCUGACCAUCUUGCCGGAGGAGAUCCAGACCCGGGUGAAGGAGCAACAUCUAGAAAAUGGUGAAUAAGCUGUGGCUCUGGUUGAGGAUAUACAGACUGGGUCUGGACAACAAGUGAAAAGAGACAUUCAGAACCUGGUCUUAGAUUCUGAGGACUGGAAAGUGCUGAACGAAGAGACAACCCUGUUGGGAGCAGCUAGAGAGUCCCCGAGAUCCCACCUGAAACAGGUUCAUCCAGAGGAAAGCACCUUGGAAGGGUUAUGGAGCUCACAACAAAGAGCAGGGGAACAGUCAGAAGGGACCGGUCCCAUGUGAGGACAGAGCCGGAUCCCUCUGUCAGGAAGGACAGACGCACGUGGGCUUUGCACAGAGGGCCAUCUACAAGGGGGUGACAUGGAAGAAGGACAGAAAGAACUCUCUGGGUAAGGAGGUCCCGUCCCACAGGUCCAGGCUGGCUGUGUUCAUUUGCUAAGAGAGAGACAUAGACCAGAAGAUGCAAGAGUGAAGGCCACAGACAGGAGUGUGGAGACUGUUGGGGCGAGGGAAGCAGGAGACAAACAGGGAGAGUCUGAGCGUAGGAAGGACACGCAGACUGUAGGAAAGGUAAAGCUAGGCGCCAGAGGGGUGAGGACAGGGCGGACAACACCUGUGACAGGGAGCGGGAACAAGGCGGGGGCAGGACGCAGGAAGCAAUGGGGACUGAGUGCGGAGGUAAAGCCUGCGGCCGCGUGUAGCUUAAAAGAACGCUGAAAAGAACGAGGCACCAUCCGAGGGACACCACAGCGACGCGAGUGAACGUGCGCUCACACACCUUGGAGAGCAUUCCCGAUGGGCAGGGGUGAGCCUGGCAUGCACCUGAGCUGUGCUGCUGUGCUACUAGGCCCAGACCUUCAGGAGGCAGCCAGCCCUUGCAGGGUGUCACACCAGGAGAGCCACACGCCCUCAGGAAUUACCCCAACUGUGGACAUGGGCGAGCAUCACAGGUCACACAGGUCACCUCACGAGAAAUGGGGGGGAGGGGAUUCAGGAGAAAGAGAAACAAAAGGGCGGCUCUGGUAAAUACUCCACAACCCCUUAUCAUCAGAGGAUGGCCUUUCCAUUCUGCUGAACGUCUGUGUUUCAGGAGAGGA